rnacentral:rRNA from 1 species
CAGUCGCCGCGGUAAAACGAAGGGUGCAAGCGUUACUCGGAAUUACUGGGCGUAAAGCGUGCGUAGGUGGUGGUUUAAGUCCGUUGUGAAAGCCCUGGGCUCAACCUGGGAAUUGCAGUGGAUACUGGAUCACUAGAGUGUGGUAGAGGAUAGUGGAAUUUCCGGUGUAGCAGUGAAAUGCGUAGAGAUCGGAAGGAACAUCUGCGGCGAAGGCGACUAUCUGGGCCAACACUGACACUGAGGCACGAAAGCGUGGGGAGCAAACAGGAUUAGAGACCCCUGUAGUCCCUGUCUCUUAUAC